rnacentral:rRNA from 1 species
CACGUAGUUAGCCGUGGCUUUCUGGUUAAGUACCGUCAUCCCAAGGCCAGUUACUACCUCAAGUGUUCUUCCUUAACAACAGAGUUUUACGAGCCGAAACCCUUCAUCACUCACGCGGCGUUGCUCCGUCAGACUUGCGUCCAUUGCGGAAGAUUCCCUACUGCUGCCUCCCGUAGGAGUCUGGGCCGUGUCUCAGUCCCAGUGUGGCCGAUCACCCUCUCAGGUCGGCUAUGCAUCGUCGCCUUGGUGAGCCACUAUCUCACCAACUAGCUAAUGCACCGCAGGCCCAUCCAUGAGCGGCAGAUAAAUCCGCCUUUUAACUUAACUGCUUAUGCAGGAAAGUCGUAUCCGGUAUUAGCUUACCGUUUCGGUAGUUAUCCCAAUCUCAAGGGUAGGUUGCCUACGUGUUACUCCACCCGUCCGCCGCUCGAUCAUGAGACGCAAGCUCCUCAAUCUCGCGCUCGAUUGCAUGUAUUACGGCACGGCCGCCAGUCCGUUA